GACGAACGCUGGCGGCGUGCUUAACACAUGCAAGUCGAACGGAAAGGCCCUGCUUUUGUGGGGUUCUCGAGUGGCGAACGGGUGAGUAACACGUGAGUAACCUGCCCUUGACUUUGGGAUAACUUCAGGAAACUGGGGCUAAUAUCGGAUAUGAUCUUCUGCUGCAUGGUGGGGGUUGGAAAGUUUCGGCGGUUUGGGAUGGACUCGCGGCUUAUCCGCUUGUUGGUGUGGUAGUUGCUUACCAAGGCUUUGACGGGUAGCCGGCCUGAGAGGGUGAACGGCCACAUUGGGACUGAGAGACGGAGCAGACUCCAACGGGAGGCAGCAGUGGGGAAUAUGGCAGAAUGGGCGGAAGCCUGAUACAGCAACGCCGCGUGCGGGAUAACGGCCUUCGGGUUGUAAACAGAUUUCGCAUGUGACGAAGAGUGAGUGACGGUAAUGGGUAAAGAAGCACCGGCUAACUACGUG
rnacentral:rRNA from 1 species